UACGGGGGGGGCAAGCGUUGUUCGGAAUUACUGGGCGUAAAGGCUCGUAGGCGGCCAACUAAGUCUGACGUGAAAUCUCCCGGCUUAACCGGGAGCGGUCGUUGGAAACUAAUCGGCUCGAGGCGAUGAGAGGGGUGUGGAAUUCCCGGUGUAGUGGUGGAAUGCGUAGAUAGCGGGGGUAACAUCAGUGGCGAAGGCAGCCCCCUGGGCUAACACUGGACGCUCAUGCACGAAAGCGUGGGGAGCAAACAGG
rnacentral:rRNA from 1 species